CGACAACACGGUUACAAUAUUCCAUGCGAAAUCUUCAACAAGUUCAAGGACAACAAAGGGAACUUCAGCAAAUCACUCAUCGCUGAUGUGCAAGGAUUGCUAAGUCUAUUUGAAGCUUGCCAUCUAGGAUUUCAUGGUGAUGUUAUUUUGAACGAUGCACUUGCUUUUACUAUCACUCUCCUUGAAUCAAUUGACAAAGGAAAAGUAACCGGUAAUCUCGAUAAACAAGUGAUUCAUGCCCUAAACCAGCCAAUCCACAAGGGAUUGCCAAGGGUAGAGGCAAGGCAUUACAUUCAACUCUACCAAGAGGAGCCUUCACAUAAUGAAGUCUUGCUUUCCUUGGCAAAACUUGAUUUCAACUUAUUGCAAGAGCAACACCAGAAGGAACUUGGCAACAUUACAAGGUGGUGGAAGGAUUUAGAUGGAGAGAGAAAGUUUCCGUUUGCCAGAAAUAGGCUUGUGGAGCUGUAUUUCUGGAUGU